GACGGUAUAGCUUAGUGGUAGAGUGCAUGCUAAGCAUGCACUUGGGUUCUGGGUUCAAUCCCCAAUACCUCCA
rnacentral:tRNA from 1 species